GACGAACGCUGGCGGCGUGCCUAAUACAUGCAAGUCGAACGCAGUGGGGACGGGUGAGUAACCCGUGGGUAACCUCCCAUCAGAGGGGAUAACACUUGGAAACAGGUGCUAACCCGAUACCGAUGGAUGGACCUGCGGUGCAUUAGCUAGUUGGUGAGGUAACGGCGAACCAAGGCCACGAUGCAUAGCCGACCUGGGAGGUUGGUCAGCGACACUGGGACUGUGACACGGCCCAGACUCCUACGGGAGGCAGCAGUAGGGAAUCUUCGGCAAUGGGCGAAAGUCUGACCGGGCAGCGCCGCGUGAGUGAAGAAGGUUUUCGGAUCGUAAAGCUCUGUUGUUAGAGAAGCGGUAGCUAACCAGAAAGCCACGGCUAACUACGUGCCAGCAGCCGCGGUAAUAC
rnacentral:rRNA from 1 species